rnacentral:rRNA from 1 species
GAUGAACGCUGGCGGUAUGCUUAACACAUGCAAAUCGAACGGACUCUUCGGAGUUAGUGGCGGACGGGUGAGUAACGCGUGAGAAUCUGGCUUUGGGUUCGGGACAACCACUGGAAACGGUGGCUAAUACCGGAUGUGCCGAGAGGUAAAAGAGAAAUUGCCUGAAGAUGAGCUCGCGUCUGAUUAGCUAGUUGGUGAGGUAAAGGCUCACCAAGGCAGCGAUCAGUAGCUGGUCUGAGAGGAUGACCAGCCACACUGGGACUGAGACACGGCCCAGACUCCUACGGGAGGCAGCAGUGGGGAAUUUUCCGCAAUGGGCGAAAGCCUGACGGAGCAAUACCGCGUGAGGGAAGAAGGCUCUUGGGUUGUAAACCUCUUUUCUUAGGGAAGAACAAAAUGACGGUACCUAAGGAAUCAGCAUCGGCUAACUCCGUG